rnacentral:pre_miRNA from 1 species
GGGAGGCGUGAUCCUGUGCUUCCUAGGAGGUGGGAUACCAUGUUUCCUGGGAGGUGUGAUACCGUGUUUCCU